AAUGAAUUUUCUCUCUAUAAAAACGUGUGCAGUUCAUGGAGGACGGGUUUAAGCAGAAGGAGAUGGUGGUGUUAGUUGACAGAAAUGAUUAUACUGAGCUGAAGAUAAAAACCAUGCCGUCUCUUUAGUUAUCACAGUUUGCGUGUGUAUACCUCUUAACACUAGCUUGGAUACAGAAGUCAGUAGCCAUAGCGACCAUCGAAGCUGCUUUAUACGGGAGAGCGGCCCUGAUGGAGGAGUUGCCUGUUCAGUGACAGUGCCAACUCUUUCAAAGUGCCCCUCGGCUUCGUGACGUCUGAAAUGACGAGCUCUGGUUAAGCUUCAAAGAGAAUGUAAAGUCACUGGAAAUCACAGCUGGGCGGACAGUGGAAGCCAAACAAGAGCAUGCGUCAACGUUCAGCGGGAAAUACUGUGUUUUUUUCUGAAUUAGGUGGCUGCUCUGAUCUGCUUUGCAUGUUGGUUGCUGACAGAUCCACCACAAUUUGUAUGAUUAGAAAAAUAAAAAGAACCCAACACUCACAUCUGAAAAAA